AAAUUCAACAGUGUGCAAAUAUGCAGAGAAAAUGAUUGUGAUCCAACAAUCCACAUACAAGAUGCCAAUCGAAUGACUUGCUUGUGUUCUAAGGCGAUCUAAUAGUCCUACGCACAAAUGGUUCAGAUCUAAAAGAGAAUCGCGAUUUAGCGAUUGAGGGAACAAGAUGGCAAAAUUACAAUUUUGCCAAGGCCUAUCCAAUGGACUGUACGCGACCACACGUGCGAUGUUUGUGCAGUCUAGAUCUAUUUAGUGUUGGAUUUAAAAACUCAUCCAAACCACUCAACCCAGCCCAAUUUGGAAAGAAAGAAAAAAACAAAAAAAUAAGA
rnacentral:lncRNA from 1 species